ACGCUGGCUACAGGCUUAACACAUGCAAGUCGUGGGGAAACGGCAUUAUGUGCUUGCACAUUCUGGACGUCGACCGGCGCACGGGUGAGUAUCGCGUAUCCAACCUGCCCCUUACUUGGGGAUACCCCGUUGAAAGACGGCCUAAUACCCGAUGUGUUUCAUUGACGGCAUCCGAUAUGAAACAAAGGUUUUUCCGGUAAGGGAUGGGGAUGCGUCUGAUUAGCUAGUUGGCGGGGCAACGGCCCACCAAGGCGACGAUCAGUAGGGGUUCUGAGAGGAAGGUCCCCCACAUCGGAACUGAGACACGGUCCAAACUCCUACGGGAGGCAGCAGUGAGGAAUAUUGGUCAAUGGACGCAAGUCUGAACCAGCCAAGUAGCGUGCAGGAUGACGGCCCUAUGGGUUGUAAACUGCUUUUAUGUGGGAAUAAUGUGGCGCACGUGUGCGCCAUUGCAUGUACCUCAUGAAUAAGGACCGGCUAAUUCCGUGCCUGCAGCCGCGGUAAUACGGAAGGUCCGGGCGUUAUCCGGAUUUAUUGGGUUUAAAGGGAGUGUAGGCGGUCUGUUAAGCGUGUUGUGAAAUUUAGGUGCUCAACAUUUAACUUGCAGCGCGAACUGUCAGACUUGAGUACACGCAGCGCAGGCGGAGUUCAUGGUGUAGCGGUGAAAUGCUUAGAUAUCAUGAGGAACUCCGAUCGCGAAGGCAGCCUGCGGGAGUGUUACUGACGCUUAAGCUCGAAGGUGCGGGUAUCGAACAGGAUUAGAUACCCUGGUAGUCCGCACGGUAAACGAUGGAUGCCCGCCGUUGGCGCCCUGCGCCUGCGGCCAAGCGAAAGCAUUAAGCAUCCCACCUGGGGAGUACGCCGGCAACGGUGA
rnacentral:rRNA from 1 species